AUGUUAGUGGUAAUAACAAGAGUGGUAAUAACAAAAACAAUAACUACCAUUUUAGUGGUAAUAACAAUAACUUCUAUGUUAGUAGUAAUAACAAUAACUACUAUGUUAGUAGUAAUAACAAUAACUACCAUGUUAGUGUUAAUAACAAUAACAAUAACUACAAUGUUAGUGGUAAUAACAAUAGCUACCAUGUUAGUGAUAAUAACAAUAACAAUAACUACAAUGUUAGUGGUAAUAACAAUAACUACCAUGUUAGUGGUAAUAACAAUAACUACUAUGUUAGUAGUAAUAACAAUAGCUACCAUGUUAGUGGUAAUAACAAUAGUGGUCAUAACAAAAACAAUAACUUCCAUGUUAGUGGUAAUAACAAUAAAUAUCAUGUUAGUGGUAAUAACAAAAACAAUAACUGCCAAGUUAGUGGUAAUAACAAUAACUACCAUGUUAGUGGUAAUAACAGAAACAAUAACUACCAUGUUAGUGGUAAUAACAAUAACUAUCAUGUUAGUGGUAAUAACAAAAACAAUAACUACCAUGUUAGUGGUAAUAACAAUAACUACUAUGUUAGUAGUAAUAAUAAUAGCUACCAUGUUAGUGAUAAUAACAAUAACAAUAACUACCAUGUUAGUGGUAAUAACAAUAACUACUAUGUUAGUAGUAAUAAUAAUAGCUACCAUGUUAGUGAUAAUAACAAUAACUACCAUGUUAGUGGUAAUAACAAUAACUACCAUGUUAGUGAUAAUUACAAUAACAACAACUACCAUGUUAGUGGAAAUAACAAUAUCUACUAUGUUAGUAGUAAUAACAAUAGCUACCAUGUUAGUGAUAAUAACAAUAACUACCAUGUUAGUGGUAAUUACAAUAACUACCAUGUUAGUGAUAAUUACAAUAACAACAACUACCAUGUUAGUGGAAAUAACAAUAUCUACUAUGUUAGUAGUAAUAACAAUAGCUACCAUGUUAGUGAUAAUAACAAUAACUACCAUGUUAGUGGUAAAAACAAUAACUACCAAGUUAGUGGUAAUUACAAUUACUACUAUGUUAGUGGUAAUAACAAUAGUUCACUGUUCUAAAAAUGAACUAGUUCUUAGUUCUUUUAUGUAUGUACACACACACACACACACACACACACACACACACACACACACACACACACACACACACAUAUAUAUAUUCUCACUAACAUGA
ensembl:lncRNA